rnacentral:tRNA from 1 species
GCGCCCGUAGCUCAGCCUGGAUAGAGUGCCGGACUACGAAUCCGUAGGUCGCAGGUUCGAAUCCUGCCGGGCGCGCCA